CGCGUAGGCUGCCGAUCAAGUCAGAUGUGAAAUCCCGUGGCUUAACCACGUGAAGUGCAUCUGAAACUGGUUGGCUUGAGUACUGGAGGGGAAGGUGGAAUUCCCGGUGUAGAGGUGAAAUUCGUAGAGAUCGGGAGGAAUACCGGUGGCGAAGGCGACCUUCUGGACAGAUACUGACGCUGAGGCGCGAAAGCGUGGGGAGCAAACA
rnacentral:rRNA from 1 species